rnacentral:misc_RNA from 1 species
UGGUUCUGGCAUCGAUGAAGAACGCAGCAAAAUGCGAUAAGUAAUGCGAAUUGCAGAAUUUCCGUGAGUCAUCGAAUCUUUGAACGCACAUUGCGCCCUUUGGUAUUCCGAAGGGCAUGCCUGUUCGAGCGUCAUUAUCACCCCUCAAGCUUCGGGCUUGUUGUUGGAUCAAUGUUGGCCUAGGAGGCCAACUGGUCCCAAAGACAAUGACGGUGUCUGUAGGACCCUCUCGGUGCAACGAGCCAUUUCCUGGCACGCACUCGAGUUGCAAAGGGCCUCGGCCGGCCUCUUCUUGAAAACUUUUCAGGUUGACCUCGGAUCAGGUAGGAAUACCCGCUGA